UUUCUGCAGUGUAUACCCAGCUGUAGAUUGACUGUAUAUCACAGCCCUUCACCCUUGCGUUUUUGUGUAUAUUUCAACGUAUUUACUGUAUAUCAACGUAGAAAUCAGCAUAGUCCCUGUCCAUAUUUCAUUGUACACUGUAUGAUGGUAUGCAGCUAAGACUUCCAGUGUAUACACGUUGUAUAUCAGCCUAUACCAGCCUGUAUAUGUGUGCUAUCCUGUGUAUAUCAGUCCAAAUUUGGACUACAAUGUGGUUAGACUUGACGGACAUCGAAUGCGAAGGAAUGGGGAGUCCGAUCGGACUCGUUCAAGGUGGGUUCAUGCAAAAUAUAGAAAAGGUAAAGAUUAGGUACGUAUUUAUAUAUGAAAUAAAAUUUAACUUGAAAUGAUUUCCAAUAGUUCAAUGAAUUUUCCAGGAAAAGGAAGAAAAAAGUGCAAGAAUGCAUGCAUAUCCAACCAUUUUU
rnacentral:lncRNA from 1 species